rnacentral:rRNA from 1 species
GUGGGGAAUAUUGGACAAUGGGGGAAACCCUGAUCCAGCCAUGCCGCGUGUGUGAAGAAGGCCUUUUGGUUGUAAAGCACUUUAAGCAGUGAAGAAGACUCCAUGGUUAAUACCCAUGGACGAUGACAUUAGCUGCAGAAUAAGCACCGGCUAACUCUGUGCCAGCAGCCGCGGUAAUACAGAGGGUGCAAGCGUUAAUCGGAAUUACUGGGCGUAAAGGGAGCGUAGGUGGCUCUAUAAGUCAGAUGUGAAAUCCCCGGGCUUAACCUGGGAACUGCAUCUGAAACUGUAGAGCUAGAGUAUGUGAGAGGAAGGUAGAAUUCCAGGUGUAGCGGUGAAAUGCGUAGAGAUCUGGAGGAAUACCGAUGGCGAAGGCAGCCUUCUGGCAUAAUACUGACACUGAGGCUCGAAAGCGUGGGUAGCAAACAGGAUUAGAAACCCUAGUAGUCC